rfam:Ailuropoda melanoleuca scaffold996_25, whole genome shotgun sequence.
ACCUGGCUGGCUUAGUUGGUAGAGCAUGCAACUUUUGAUCUUGGGGUUGUGAGUUCAAGCCCCAUGUUGGGUA